rnacentral:rRNA from 1 species
AUUGAACGCUGGCGGCAUGCUUUACACAUGCAAGUCGACGGUAACAGCACUUCGGUGGCUGACGAGUGGCGAACGGGUGAGUAAUGUAUCGGAACGUGCCCAGUAGUGGGGGAUAACUACUCGAAAGAGUGGCUAAUACCGCAUGAGAUCUCUGGAUGAAAGCGGGGGACCGUAAGGCCUCGCGCUACUGGAGCGGCCGAUAUCAGAUUAGGUUGUUGGUGGGGUAAAGGCCUACCAAGCCUGCGAUCUGUAGCUGGUCUGAGAGGACGACCAGCCACACUGGGACUGAGACACGGCCCAGACUCCUACGGGAGGCAGCAGUGGGGAAUUUUGGACAAUGGACGCAAGUCUGAUCCAGCAAUGCCGCGUGCAGGACGAAGGCCUUCGGGUUGUAAACUGCUUUUGUACGGAACGAAAAGCCUUCUUCUAAUACGGGAGGGUCAUGACGGUACCGUAAGAAUAAGCACCGGCUAACUACGUG